rnacentral:rRNA from 1 species
UUCGCCCUUAGAGUUUGAUCCUGGCUCAGAGCGAACGCUGGCGGCAGGCUUAACACAUGCAAGUCGAGCGGGCCCUUCGGGGUCAGCGGCAGACGGGUGAGUAACGCGUGGGAACGUGCCCUUCGGUUCGGAAUAACUCAGGGAAACUUGAGCUAAUACCGGAUACGUGCGAGAGCAGAAAGGUUUAUCUGCCGAAGGAUCGGCCCGCGUCUGAUUAGCUAGUUGGUGAGGUUAUGGCUCACCAAGGCGACGAUCAGUAGCUGGUCUGAGAGGAUGAUCAGCCACACUGGGACUGAGACACGGCCCAGACUCCUACGGGAGGCAGCAGAAGGG